rnacentral:rRNA from 1 species
AUUGAACGCUGGCGGCAUGCCUUACACAUGCAAGUCGAACGGCAGCACGGGGGCAACCCUGGUGGCGAGUGGCGAACGGGUGAGUAACAUAUCGGAACAUACCCUAGAGUGGGGGAUAACGUAGCGAAAGUUACGCUAAUACCGCAUACGAUCUAAGGAUGAAAGUGGGGGAUCUUCGGACCUCAUGCUCAUGGAGUGGCCGAUAUCUGAUUAGCUAGUUGGUGAGGUAAAGGCUCACCAAGGCGACGAUCAGUAGCUGGUUUGAGAGAACGACCAGCCACACUGGAACUGAGACACGGUCCAGACUCCUACGGAGGCGAGCAGUGGGGAAUUUUUGGACAAUGGGGGCGAACCCUGAUCCAGCAAU